UUGCAUACUUUAUGACUCUGAUUCAGCAUAGCCAUCCCUUUGUCCUUUCUAGGUUUAGUCUGUGUUCAUCCAAGACAGAAACUAGCUUUGACAAAGUACAGAUGAUGCUCCCUAUGAACCCAUUCUGUAAUCUCCCAGGUCGGGGGUCCAAUUCUGAUAGGGUCCCAGGGUCCCUCAGUUGUCCACAGGAUGACCCUGCCCCCCACACUCCUUAUUCCUGCCUGCAAAUAAUCAUAUAUUUGUAGCAGAAGCGCUGGUUACAGCUGACAGCUUUAAGAAGAUGUGAUUUUCCUUUCCAUAACUUUACCUUUUCAGAGAUGUGGACACAUUGUCUUCACAGUCCAUCAGCAUGGUAUCAUUGGGCAGGUUCUGACCUGAGCAGCUGGGAUGGGUGAAGCUCUCAGAUGAGAGGCCAGCGGGAGCGUCCUCUGCAGGUCUCCACUGCUCACUGCAUGACAAUGGUGUGGCUAGAAGGGGUAACGCUGGUGCUGACAUCUG